GCGGCCGCGGCGCCAUCUCUACUGCGGGCAAGGGCCCGGCCGCCAUUUCGCUGUGGGCCGAGGCGGGGCCCCGCGCACCGGAGGGGGCGGCGCUGCUGAGGGCGGGAGCUCCGUGUGCCCGUGAAAGAACCCCCGCCUGGGCUGCAUGGGGGUGGAAGGGUCGUGAGACCGGCCUGGAGUGUCAGUGCGCUGGUUCUGGAAUGGGGAGAGUCAGCGCUGACCUACUGAUAGACUCGGCGGUGGGCACAGAGACGGGGAGGAAGCUCUCUGAUGGCGCACAAGUGGUCUCAUUAAGAAGACUGAGUUCUGCAAUUGAGCAUUGUCAGGAGCUUUGUCUGGUGACAACAUGAGUGGUGGCCACUUCGAAAGCAAAGGUUGUAUGGGGCUUGGGAGUGGCAAUGUAGUGCUGUGAGGAGGAAAUUGCAAGCUGCUCCACCGGCUGUGAAACAGGGGAAUAGACUCAGCUGCCAUAAAUCCUCUGAAAUGCCUCAGAGUGAAGUUUACCACUGAGGACAACUAAGAAAAACUACUUGCAAGUCAAUCUUUGUGGGGUGAGUCUUACUACCAGUUGGCUUUUUCUCUGUGCUAGAAA